UGAACGCUGGCGGUAGGCCUAACACAUGCAAGUCGAACGGCAGCACAGUAAGAGCUUGCUCUUACGGGUGGCGAGUGGCGGACGGGUGAGGAAUACAUCGGAAUCUACUUUUUCGUGGGGGAUAACGUAGGGAAACUUACGCUAAUACCGCAUACGACCUACGGGUGAAAGCAGGGGAUCUUCGGACCUUGCGCGAUUGAAUGAGCCGAUGUCGGAUUAGCUAGUUGGCGGGGUAAAGGCCCACCAAGGCGACGAUCCGUAUCUGGUCUGAGAGGAUGAUCAGCCACACUGGAACUGAGACACGGUCCAGACUCCUACGGGAGGCAGCAGUGGGGAAUAUUGGACAAUGGGCGCAAGCCUGAUCCAGCCAUACCGCGUGGGUGAAGAAGGCCUUCGGGUUGUAAAGCCCUUUUGUUGGGAAAGAAAAGCAGCAGGUUAAUACCCCGCUGUUCUGACGGUACCCAAAGAAUAAGCACCGGCUAACUUCGUG
rnacentral:rRNA from 1 species